rnacentral:rRNA from 1 species
UACGUAGGGUGCGAGCGUUAAUCGGAAUUACUGGGCGUAAAGCGUGCGCAGGCGGUUUUGUAAGACAGGCGUGAAAUCCCCGAGCUCAACUUGGGAAUUGCGCUUGGGACUGCAAGGCUAGAGUGUGUCAGAGGGGGGUAGAAUUCCACGUGUAGCAGUGAAAUGCGUAGAGAUGUGGAGGAAUACCGAUGGCGAAGGCAGCCCCCUGGGACAUGACUGACGCUCAUGCACGAAAGCGUGGGGGAGCAAAACAGG